UACGUAGGGUCCAAACGUUGUUCGGAAUUAUUGGGCGUAAAGGGUACGCAGGCUGUUUUUUAAGUCAGUGGUGAAAACCCGGGGCUCAACCCCGGGGCUGCCGUUGAUACUGGAAGACUAGAGUUGUUAUAGGGGUGGCAGGAAUUACUAGUGUAGGAGUGAAAUCUGUAGAUAUUAGUAGGAACACCAAUAGCGUAGGCAAGCCACUGGGUUACAACUGACGCUCAGGUACGAGAGCUAGGGGAGCAAAUGGG
rnacentral:rRNA from 1 species